AUUGCUGUUGGCAUGCCAUGGAGGGGUUUUGCUCCUUUUUCUGAGGAUGGGUGAGCAUGGAUCUAUUCAGUGCAGUUGUUUUUUCUCUAAAGAACUACAAUAAUGCUUGAUGUACAGUUAGUUAUUUUAAUUCUUUUACACUACAAGAGAAGCUGACUUCUGCUGAGCAGCAGCCUCUGGUUUUCUGCAUUGAAUAAAGAAGAUGUUUUCAUUGGCUGCUAAACAACACAGUUCUGAUUUAUGAAAGGUCGUAACAAAAUGUUGCAAAGAGGUCGCAAGAUGUUUCUGCAGCUAAUUGAAUCAAAAAUUAUUUUCCUUCUUCAAGGUAUAUCUGGGAAAGCUCCCAAGGACUCAUCCCUCUCCUGGCUAGUCACUGAUCACUGGUUGCCAGUAACUUAUAACCCUGGGACCUCCAAGAACCUAUUACGACAGCGAAGUUAUAAAAUUUCAGAAACCCAGACCUGGACCUGGAAUUCAUCGCCACUAAAUUACAACCCUUUCAAGAAAUACUUUGAGAUACAUGGGAACUGAUGAGACUGCUCUUUAAAGAACAAAAUCAAAGAUGAUGAGUUCUAUAGGCAGUAUUGAGCUAGUUGUCAGUAAUUAGCUUCAGAUGAGAUUGUUGUCUUUAAUGUUUCUUGACUAUUCUUGGAUGAGUUGGAACAUACGAUGAAAGUGUAAUUACAGCCUUUGAUAUUUUGGUGGAUGUCUCAAUGCAUCCUGGAAGUACUCCAACAGGUUGUUUGGCCAAGUGGUUUGUGGGGUAGCUAGUCCUAUACAAAUAAAUAAAGAAAGAGAAAAUUUUUUAAUUGUUCAUGCAAUAAAUGGUCUCCUCACAUACAUUUUAUGAUGUGGUAUUUUAAGUGCAUCUAAGCAAAAGUCAAUCUAAUGAAAGAACAAAUGCUUUUUGUCUUUUAUGUGGAUUGUGUUACUUGUAUGCUUAUUGUGUUUUUUUAAAGUUCAGGCUUUUUGAUGCUAAUUAUUAAAACAAUGAGUUCAGUGUGUCUGGAGUGGAGGAAAAUGAGCAGUUUAAAGAAUACAGUCUGUGCAAGUGGAUUCUGAUAGGAUGUAUGUCAGUUUUGUGCUGGUAUAAGUACUGACACUCAGAUUACAUCUGUGCAAUUGCCAAUCAGGGCAUUAAUAUUUCUGUUUUUGAAAUUAUAUGUAAUUUCAGACAGUUUUUUUACAGUUUAGUUGAACAGCAAUUCUAAAAUAAAAUGUUGAAUUUAAAGACA